UCUCCUUGUAAAAUUCGGCUUGCCUUGUCUCGCAGGUCGUAUAUGAGAUAUGAGUCCGCCGAACUUGCAAAAGUUACGGCGAGGGUGUCCCACAGUGAUUUCGCCGUUUGGUGAUGCACGAAAUCCGCUAUGAGAUUGGUUUCCGUGUUGUCAAUAAUCCAAGAGAAGACUAUUAAGUCUAUCUCCUCUCAAUCGGUAUAUCCGAUUUCUUCCGGCUGUGGUGGAGGCGGAGCUCCAGAUAUAUGGCGGUAGACUCCUCGGCCGCCGAUGGUCACCUUCAUCAAUCGUGCCCAUAGUGAAUAGUUUGAGCCAUUCAAUUUGAAGGCUACGGUAACACUCUUACUUGAUCUGAUUUUUUCGACAACGGGUUCGAUUUCUAGUUUGUUUUCUGACAUUUUGGCUGGACUGAUCUCUCGCCGUUUUUGGUCGAGAAAGGUAUUUGCGGGCUAUGAUGAUAAUAUUCUGAACCUGCUCUGAUACCAUGUAGAAUUGUAUAAUUGUUUGAUAUAUUAUUCACAAUGAGAUGAUACAUCAUAUAUAGGCCAAGGGAGAACUAUACACGAAUAUUCUUUGAUCUCCAACAAAUCAAUGGUGUUAAAUCCAACAUUUGUGACAUGGCAAAGGCAAGAUAGAAGAGUAUGCCUUGACCUUGGUGGUAGGGCUCAGAUCUGCAAGAGAUAUCUGGACAACACUGGAGACCAACUUUGCAAGCCGCUCAACGGCCAAGAAUCUCAUAAGGAGAACAAGUGCUACACAUCUUGGGAGAUCUGGGUCAAGAGUAUGAUCCAGUGACCUCAAGGUCAGAUCCAUGGAGCAUUGGAGAUGUCAGUGCCUUUCUGCUAAGUUUUGAGUCUAGAAUGGAAUCAACUAGAGCUCACUCCAUCAGCUCAGAUAGCAGCCAUCACUCAAUCUAGUUUUUCGGACAGAAAAUGGAUCAGCAAAACUUUGGCAACAACAAGUUUGAGCAUGGAGGUGGAAGUGGCUUUAGAGGAAGAAACCAAAGAGGUGACCGUGGUGUAAGAAGCUUUGGUAGAGGAGGCAACAAAAUUUUUUGCCAGUUGUGUCAGAAACCUGCCAUUCUGCAGCUAAGUACUGGCACAGGUUCGAGCAGAACUACACACCAGCUCAGUUCAGUUUAGAGAAAAUUCUCCACCACAACAACAGCAACAACAGAGCUUCUUUAAUCCUUCAGCUCACCUGAUUCAAUCUGUUCCAAGAUCCCCUUUAGGUUCUUUCUCUGUUGCACCAUCAGAGUUCAACUAUAGACCAAAUGCCUCUUCAAGUUGGUAUCCAGAUUCAGGAGCCACUCAUCAUGUAUCAAAUGAUUUGAGCAACCUCUACAAAGCUUAGAGUAUACA